rnacentral:rRNA from 1 species
CAGCAGCCGCGGGAAUACGUAGGAGGCAAGCGUUGUCCGGAAUUAUUGGGCGUAAAGGGCUCGCAGGCGGUUUCUUAAGUCUGAUGUGAAAGCCCCCGGCUCAACCGGGGAGGGUCAUUGGAAACUGGGAAACUUGGGUGCAGAAGAGGAGAGUGGAAUUCCACGUGUAGCGGUGAAAUGCGUAGAGAUGUGGAGGAACACCAGUGGCGAAGGCGACUCUCUGGUCUGUAACUGACGCUGAGGAGCGAAAGCGUGGGGAGCGAACAGGAUUAGAUACCCGAGUAGUCCCUGUCUCUUAUAC